rnacentral:rRNA from 1 species
GGGUCAGUAGGUUGGUCGCGUCACCGGUACGUACUGGUCUCACUGAUUCCUCCUUCCUGAAGAACCGUAAUGCCAUUAAUUUGGUGUUGCGGGGAAACAGGACUGUUACUUUGAAAAAAUUAGAGUGUUUAAAGCAAGCUAACGCUUGAAUACAUUAGCAUGGAAUAAUGAAAUAGGACGAUCGAUCCUAUUUUGUUGGUUUCUAGGAUUGACGUA